rnacentral:lncRNA from 1 species
UAUUUUUCCAAUUAUAUUCACCUAUGCUAACACACUAUGAUUUUAAUGCUACUUUCACAAUACAGAGGAGAAAAUGAAACAACAAAAGACAACUCCCACUGGGAAAUCAGAGCAUGAAGCAGUCAGACAUCAAAAAGAUGUUCAACGAACAAAACCAGUCAAACCAAAAAUCACUGCAAAGCCAACAGCUGAAAUCCCAACAGCAGCCGCAAAAAAACCAAAACCAAAGACAACUAAGGAAAAAGAAGAAAAACCAACUGAGAAGAAACAGCUGAAAAAUGAAAAAAACAAAGGUGCCCCACCAGUAAAAGAAGCCCCACGACAUCAAAACCUGACAUCAGCUCCUGUUCGCUACUUUCAAUGUGUCUUCCUAAAUGGACCUAAUGGAUUUGGGCUGCAAUUUCCCACUAAUCCCCCUUCAAACAAGGAAGAAAAGACUCACUCAAAGACUUCCAAGAGAAAGACAAGGAAACCGGGGCAGUAGAGAGACUGAGUCCUGUGAUCACUGAUAUUUUGCACUUUACCUUUUCUGCUGAGGUCCACAGUAGCUACAAUGGUACUUAUCAUUGCAAGAACGUGAUCCACUUGCACACAUGUACCUGUAUAAAAUUUCCAUAGGGCAGAGGCAGAACAAGCAGUAAUGAACUGUGUUUAACAAAAAGAAAUGUAAAAGUGCCCCGUUUCUCAUGGAAAGGCUGCAAUGCUAACAAAGCAUUGACAUGACUGUGUGUGUGAGCAUGUGUGUGUGUUUUCCUGCCUCUUUUGCUCUUGUUUUUCUUUACCUACAUGCUCAGCAUUGAAGUGAGUCUGUUUUCCAUUUAAUCUUAUCUAAGCAGAGAAAUGUUGAAUGUAGCUCUUAUAUCAGCAAGAUUGCAAGGCUUCCUGCAAUCCUAAAUCAUUUCUUCUUAAAGUUCAAUCAAACUGCUGACAGGAAAAAACCUCACUAAGUCGUGCAAAUGUGCUCUGUGACUGGUUCUAUUUUUAUGUCUCAUUGACCAGUGUAGCCUAAAGCUCACACUUACUUGGAACAGCCCAACAUACUACCAGUAAGUUGACUCCCCAAGUCAUGCUAAUGAUGAAUAUUUCUAUUUAACUUAAAGUUGUAAAGGCAUGGACUGUUUGCCCUGCCUGUUGGUGAAAUACAAACUCAUCUCCUUUUAAAGCCCAAAGUGAGAAGAGAAAGUGAAACCACAUGGCAAAGUUCAGGAAAACCAGUGUUUUACCAACAUGAAAGUCCCCAGAAACUAAUGAAAUAGUUAUAGUGCUUCUAGUUUUCUUCUGCAGCUAAAUCAGACUGACUUGCACUGAAAACCUUGUAAAUGGAGAAUAUACCAGCCAACCGUUGGCUAUUAGCAUAAGUCAGAUGAAAAGCUAGG